rnacentral:misc_RNA from 1 species
GAAAUGCGAUACGUAAUGUGAAUUGCAGAAUUCAGUGAAUCAUCGAAUCUUUGAACGCAAAUUGCACUUCGGGGUAUCCCCUGGAGUAUGCUUCUUUGAGUAUCGGUUCUUAUCUUUCUCUUGCACACUUUGUAAAAAAUGUGUGCAGGCAGAAGAGAGUGGGCGUUUUCGCUUUUAUCAGCGCAUCGCCUCAAGUGGACGGUUUCAGCUCUUUGUGUUGCUUUUCGCGUGGAAAGAUAGGUGGCCUUUGUGCUGCUCUCUGCUGUCUUCGGAUGGCUAUCUUUUUCUCGCAGCAGCAAACGCCUGCACCUCGGUGCUGGGCGAGAGUGUGACUUCCGACACGCAGUUUCGUGAGCUUUUAAGCCAGCGGCUGCGAGUCAACAUAACAACCAAUCUGAUCUCAAAUGAAGUAAGAGGACCCCCUGAAUUUAA